AUGCAGAGUGGAAAUCACCCUACGGAUGAUGGCAGUCCAACACAGGACAGUUCAAACUUGACUGCUCGAGCCAAUUCAAAGGAAUUAUCGCGGUUAGCAAGAUCGAAAAGGAAAAGAAAACUAGACCUGAGAAGGAGCGGAUCUCCAUCGACCAAAAAUUACUCCAGUGCGGAUGAAACAAAUGCUCUUCAAAGCUCAAACUUCACUGCUGAAGUAAACUCAACGGAACUCGCACGCUUAUCAAGACUGAACAGGAAAAGGAAACUUGACCUUAGAAGAAGCGGAUCUACAUUGAACAACAGUUCGACCUGUUCAAAUCCAGCAAAUCACAUUGAAAGUCUCAAGAUGAAUGAUCGAGUAAGUAAGGAAGGAAACAUUAUAAGGAAUAAGGUUGCUGAUACAGGAAAUCCCCUGCAAAGCUCAAACUUCACUGCUGAAGUAAACUCAACGGAACUCGCACGCUUAUCAAGACUGAACAGGAAAAGGAAACUUGACCUUAGAAGAAGCGGAUCUACAUUGAAUAACAGUUCGACCUGUUCAAAUCCAGCAAAUCACAUUGAAAGUCUCAAGAUGAAUGAUCGA
rnacentral:lncRNA from 1 species